CGGCGGACGGGUGAGUAAUGCCUAGGAAUCUGCCUGGUAGUGGGGGACAACGUUUCGAAAGGAACGCUAAUACCGCAUACGUCCUACGGGAGAAAGCAGGGGACCUUCGGGCCUUGCGCUAUCAGAUGAGCCUAGGUCGGAUUAGCUAGUUGGUGAGGUAAUGGCUCACCAAGGCGACGAUCCGUAACUGGUCUGAGAGGAUGAUCAGUCACACUGGAACUGAGACACGGUCCAGACUCCUACGGGGGGCAGCAGCC
rnacentral:rRNA from 1 species